rnacentral:lncRNA from 1 species
GGAAUCAACUGAGGGCUCAGCUUUUCCUCUGCAAGAAACCUGCUCUCUGGGACAGCCCAAGGGAGCUCAUUCAUCCCUUCCACCACGUGAGGAUGUGGUGAGAAUGUGCUAUCUAUGAACCAGGAAGCAGACCCUCAGCAGACACUGAAUCUACCAGUCCCUUGACCUUGGACAUCCUAACCUCCAGAACUGAAAAAGUCAAUACACAACCUGAAAAAUGGUCAUUGUUUGUGAUUUAAAAGAAGAGUAAGCUUUAGGAAUAAAUACUAACAUCACUGGGAACUCUGUCUCAUCCUCACAUCCUUUGAAAAGGCAUUUGUGAUAAUGUAAGCACAAAGAACAAAACUAUUUAAAGACCACACACAUACCCUCUCAAACAAAUCACCUCCCUUUGGGAAAGCAACAUGUUC